UACAGAGGUCUCGAGCGUUGUUCGGAUUCAUUGGGCGUAAAGGGCGCGUAGGCGGCGGGGCAAGUCGGGUGUGAAAUCUCAGGGCUCAACUCUGAAACUGCACUCGAUACUGCUUUGCUUGAGGACUGGAGAGGAGAUUGGAAUUCACGGUGUAGCAGUGAAAUGCGUAGAUAUCGUGAGGAAGACCAGUGGCGAAGGCGGAUCUCUGGACAGUUCCUGACGCUGAGGCGCGAAGGCCAGGGGAGCAAACGGG
rnacentral:rRNA from 1 species